rnacentral:rRNA from 1 species
GGAUUAGAUACCCUGGUAGUCCACGCUGUAAACGGUCUACACUAGAUGUGGGAGGAUUUGACCCCUUCCGUGUCCAAGCUAACGCGUUAAGUGUAGCGCCUGGGGAGUACGGUCGCAAGAUUAAAACUCAAAGGAAUUGACGGGGGCCCGCACAAGCGGUGGAGCAUGUGGCUUAAUUCGAGGCAACGCGAAGAACCUUACCUGGAUUUGACAUAUAUUUGCCCGUCUUAGAGAUAAGAUUUUCUUUCGAGACAAAUAUACAGGUGCUGCAUGGCUGUCGUCAGCUCGUGUCG